AGAGAUGUAGCCCAUAGGUAGAGCAUGUACUUGACAUGCAUGAGGCCCUAGGUUCAAUCCCCAGCAACCCCA
rnacentral:tRNA from 1 species